GAUGAAGAACGUAGCUAAACGCGAUAUGUAAUGUGAAUUGCAGAAUUCAGUGAAUCAUCGAAUCUUUGAACGCACAUGGCGCCUUCCAGUAUCCUGGGAGGCAUGCCUGUCCGAGCGUCGUUUCAACCCUCGAGCCCCCGUGGCCCGGCGUUGGGGAUCUGCCCAGGCAGUCCCCGAAAACCAGUGGCGGACCCGUUACAGGCCCUUCCCUUGCGUAGUAGCAUUCGCCUCGCAUCGGGAGCCGGCGGGCUUCCAGCCUCUAAACCCCCAUCAAGUCCGCCCCGGCGGCACCAAGGUUGACCUCGGAUCAGGUAGGAAUACCCGCUGAACUUAAGCAUAUCAAUAAGCGGAGGA
rnacentral:misc_RNA from 1 species